UAAGGUGUGAGUGGCAUAUUGCAUCAUCUUUUUCCCGCGCAAUUGAUGCGCGUGAGCAUGUCUUGAUCAUCAAAACAUUGAGAUCGCGCCCAUUCAUUCAUUAGUACACCGGCGUUCUUCUCAGUCCAGCGUGGCUGGAGUCUCUUUUAGUCAAAAGUUACCAAAGUUCGAAGCUAUUUUCUAUUGUCUAGUGAAACGAACAUUUACGAAGAAGUUUAAAACGCUUUGAAGUCGUUGUCGUAAGGAUGAGUGUGUAGACCGAAGUUGUCUAUGUGGCAUACUGUUUAGUUUAUAUCUUCACUACAGUUCACCCUGAUGGGUCUAUGUGCUUCUGGUGAACCAAAAGACUACGAAAUGAUAAAUCCCUACGAUGGAGACACCUUUCUUUGCUUUCGGCAUGGCGAAGGAACGUAUCACUACAGCAAUGGUGACACGUACGAUGGACAAUGGAGAUGGAAUAACUUACACGGAUAUGGCAUUUACAGACAUGCAAAUGGAGAAGU